GCAUAUCAAUAAGCGGAGGAAAAGAAACUAACAAGGAUUCCCCUAGUAACGGCGAGUGAACCGGGAAGAGCUCAAAUUUGAAAUCUGGCGUCCUCAGGGCGUCCGAGUUGUAAUCUAUAGAGGCGUUUUCCGCGCCGGACCGUGUAUAAGUCUCCUGGAACGGAGUAUCAAAGAGGGUGACAAUCCCGUGCUUUACACGACGACCGGUGCUAUGUGAUACGUCUUCUACGAGUCGAGUUGUUUGGGAAUGCAGCUCAAAACGGGUGGUAAACUCCAUCUAAAGCUAAAUAUUGGUGGGAGACCGAUAGCGAACAAGUACCGUGAGGGAAAGAUGAAAAGCACUUUGGAAAGAGAGUUAAACAGUAUGUGAAAUUGUUGAAAGGGAAACGAUUGAAGUCAGUCGUGUCCAUUGGGUUCAGCCGGUCCUGCCGGUCUACUCCCUUUGGACGGGUCAACAUCAGUUCUGACCGGUGGAUAAUGGCACGAGGAACGUAGCACCCUCCGGGGUGUGUUAUAGCCUCGCGUCGCAUACACUGGUCGGGACUGAGGAACGCAGCUCGCCCUCACGGGCCGGGGUUCGCCCACGUCCGAGCUUAGGAUGUUGACAUAAUGGCUUUAAACGACCCGUCUUGAAACACGGACC
rnacentral:rRNA from 1 species